rnacentral:rRNA from 1 species
CCUACGGGAGGCAGCAGUCGGGAAUAUUGCGCAAUGGAGGAAACUCGGACGCAGAGACGCCGCGUGCAGGAAGAAGGUUUUCGGAUUGUAAAAUGCUUUAGACAGGGAAGAAAAAAGACAGUACCUGUAGAAUAAGCUCCGGCUAACUACGUGCCAGCAGCCGCGGUAAUACGUAGGGAGCAAGCGGUAUCCGGAUAUAUUGGGUGUAACGGGUGCGUAGACGGAGGAGCAAGUUAGUGGUGAAAUCCCUCGGCUUAACUGAGGAACGGCAACGAAAACUAAUGCGCUUGAGUACUGGGAGGGAAAGUGGAAGUCCUGGUGUGGCGGGGAAUUGCGUGGAUAUUAGGAGGAACACGAGUGGCGAGGGCGACUUUCUGGACAGUAACUAACGUUGGGGCACGAACGGGUGGGGGGCAAACAGAUU